ACCUGGGUGGCUCAGUCGGUUAAGCGUCUGAUUUUGGCCCAGGUCACGAUCUCACGGUUCGUGGGUUCGAGCCCACCUCGGGCU
rnacentral:tRNA from 1 species